rnacentral:rRNA from 1 species
GUGCCAGCCGCCGCGGUAAUACGUAGGGUGCGAGCGUUAAUCGGAAUUACUGGGCGUAAAGCGUGCGCAGGCGGUUAUAUAAGACAGUUGCGAAAUCCCCGGGCUUAACCUGGGAAUGGCGCUUGUGACUGCACGACUGGAGUGCGGCAGAGGGGGAUGGAAUUCCGCGUGUAGCAGUGAAAUGCGUAGAUAUGCGGAGGAACACCGAUGGCGAAGGCAGUCCCCUGGGCCUGCACUGACGCUCAUGCACGAAAGCGUGGGGAGCAAACAGGAUUAGAUA